AAGCGUACAGAAGCUUCUUGUAGCUCCGCGAGGUGGCCAUGAUGUCCCUGAGAUCUGCAAGGGACAACGUGCGAUUAGCUUUGGACAAGGGAGGCCGAAGUUCUCCUUUCCCUCCAAAGUCAGGAACCGAUAAGAAGACUUUCCCCUCCGCGAACCUCCCCUUUUACAAUCGAUUUUACUCACGGGGCUCCAGGCUCCAGCUGACGUUUGGCUGCGGAUGCACUUUAGCCGUGGAAUAAAUACUGUCCAUGGUGCUGAGAAUUGUGUUGUACUGCGCACACAAACACACACAGGAAAUCAUCGGUCAAUCCUUUUAACACUGGAGAAUAACUCCAAAUCAUUGGAGACCAACCUUUCCUCUUUCUUCAGGAGACAAGUUGGCGGCUCCGAGAACCAUGACUUUGCCCAUCAGUUUCUUAUCUUUGGGUUCAAGCGUGUUGAGCACCUCGCUGGUGAACACCUGCUUGGCCUUGAUCCCCCAAGCCUCAGUGAAGGCCUGCUCCUCCAACGAUGCGUUUACCUGAGCACACCGGGAAGGACACCCUCAAGACACAUUAUGUUGGCGCGGCGCGGCGGGGUCUCGCAUCUCCACUUGUUCUCCAAGCCUGGAGAAUUCCUGUUGUGACAGCUGUACAAGCACGGACAUCACAAUAAAAGCCUCAGAAGAGAGAACUGACCUCAAGCACCUUGAGAACACUGGCGGAACUGCAGGUGACCGACAUUGGGACUGUGACAGGUUAGAGGUGAGUUUGUUCUCCAAACUAUGAGCCACACGUGGCUCAGUAUCAGGAUGGAUGACGAGAUGGAUGGAUGUUUCAAAACGGUCGCAGCAGCGUGCCGUGCUGACUUGUGUGUACGUCACCCCGUCUGAAUACAGUUAAUCAGUGAGGGAGGAGACCCAGCGAUAGGAUAUCUUGACUUGAUAGUGCUGUGUCAUGAUGCAUUUGUGUUCAAAUUGCAUGUAAGAUGCAUUCAUUCUUCAAGACGUCAGCCGGUCGCAGCCAGCGUAAUGCUCGAGUUUCGCGUUAAUAUUUUCCACAAAUGCGGCUUUUGCGUUGAGCUGUUUUGUGUGUGAAAUGGUGAUUGAUGGUUAGCAGAUUCCGUUGGCGUAUUUGCGGUCCUGACACAACUAACAUCAUGUCUGAAGUCAUAGAGCGUGACUAAUGUAUACACUGGAACGAGAGGAGAACUUGAAACAUUUGAAAGGAAACAGCGUCUGCUCGGGUGAAAGGUUAACUUUGACAAUGCUGAUUUCUGAGAGAAGGCCCAAGAUUAGAUUAGAUUAGAGUAGAUUAGAUGAGGGUGAAGACCAC